AAGUAUGGCGCAGCUUUACCAUGCAGUCGACGGCAGCGGAGAGGUGCUUGCACUUCUGCCGGCGAGUGGCGAACGGGUGAGUAAUGCAUCGGAACGUACCGAGUAAUGGGGGAUAACCUGCCGAAAGGUGGGCUAAUACCGCAUACGCCCUGAGGGGGAAAGUGGGGGACCGCAAGGCCUCACGUUAUUCGAGCGGCCGAUGUCGGAUUAGCUUGUUGGUGGGGUAAUGGCCUACCAAGGCGACGAUCCGUAGCGGGUUUGAGAGGAUGAUCCGCCACACUGGGACUGAGACACGGCCCAGACUCCUACGGGAGGCAGCAGUGGGGAAUUUUGGACAAUGGGGGCAACCCUGAUCCAGCCAUGCCGCGUGAGUGAAGAAGGCCUUCGGGUUGUAAAGCUCUUUCAGUCGGGACAAAAGCGCAUGCGUGAAUAGCGUGUGUGGAUGAUGGUACCGGCACAAGAAGCACCGGCUAACUACGUGCCAGCAGCCGCGGUAA
rnacentral:rRNA from 1 species